UUUUUUUUCUUAAUAAAAGUUUAUUAUCUGUAGGAUCUAUAGAUGUAUCCCCACUUUCAUUUCUUUUUUUAAAAUGAUUUUUAUUUUUUCCAUUAGAGUUGAUUUACAGCGUUCUGUCCAUUUUCUGCUGUACAGCAAGGUGACCUAGUCACACAUACAUAUAUACAUUCUUUUUCUCACAUUUAAAACUUCACUCUCAUUCCCACAACCUUGGUCUGCCCAUCUGCCGCCUCAUCUGCCAGGGCUUGUCCCUUCCUCUUUCCCCACCCACAGAGUAUCAGCCCCCGGCAGCCUGAUUGAGGUCUUUCAUGUGUUUCCAUUCUCAUCACACGCAAUCUGGAAACUCACCUUCAGAGCAGAGGAUGGCUCUGGGGUGCAGACUCAGACCAGCCCUGUUGUACACCUCUCUCUUCCCUCAGGGAGAGGGGGCAGGCUUUUCUGGUCCUCUGCUUGGGAAGAAAAGCAGAGUGACAGGGAAUUCUUUCAUGGGAUGGAGAUGGAGGGUCCAGGAAAUGCUCUGCAGCCCCAUCUCCCUGGGGAAAGCGACGGAGUACCAAAGAAAUACCAUUCUUUGAAGUACCGAAGAAAGUAUUGGUCUUUGGAGUGCCAAAGAAAGUACCAUUUAUGUUACAGGGUAGGCAGUGGGAGAAGAGUGGCCUCGGGAUGUCACACUGAAUUCUAUGCUGAAGGAAUGGCUAUUGCCACUUCAAAAAUCUGAGCAUCAGGAGUUCCCGUCAUGGCACAGUGGUUAACGAAUCCGACAAGGAACCAUGAGGUUGCGGGUUCGAUCCCUGCCCUUGCUCAGUGGGUUAAGGAUCCGGCGUUACCAUGAGCUGUGGUGUAGGUCACAGACGUGGCUCUGCCCGUGUUGCUGUGGUUCUGGCGUAAGCUGGUGGCUACAGCUCUGAUUCGGCCCCUAGCCUGGGGACCUCCAUAUGCCGCAGAAGCGGCCCAAGAGAUGGCAAAAAGACAAAACAAAACAAAACAAACUGAGCAUCAGAGAGGUUAAGUGGCUUGUUCAUUGUCACACAGCAGUGGAGCCAGUAAUGGACUCUAGUCUCUUGUCAAAGCCCUUGUUCAUUCCACUGCAAAGAGGGUCUCUGUGGAUUGAGGAAACUGGCUGACUAGACUGCCUUUUUCUGUCUUAACCAUCUGAGACAGUCUCUUCCCACCUAACACCUCAGCAUUUGUUUAUCUCUCUCCUGCCCUUUCCUCAUUUGCAUCUCAUUUCCUCUAGAAAGGUUCACGGUGUAGACACCCUCACCUCUCCUGUCCUGCCCCUUGCACAUCUUCACCCACGACUCCAUGACGUCACCAGCACCCCGGGCAAGUUCCCGACACCUCCUCGCUUGGUGGAGCGUCGGGAUUCUCCCACUCGGGGCGGAGCCAAGACUUUCCCUUCCCUAUAGGACGCUUAUUAGAAACCUGUGCUCAGGAAUUCAGUGUUUGCCUUGAGUUAGAAGGAGAUCUGGGAUCAGGCUAACGCUUGCAGUUCGGAUGGAGGCUCAGUCGCUUCAAGCUCUCUCAAACAUGCCCAGGCCCCCUUCUCCCCACCAUGGCACUCACUGAAUCACAGACACCUAGUUCUGUCUGCAGCGCCCCAUGCAGGUCUGUUCUGCUUUUAUUGGCAAGGUAGUACCUCCACAACACUGAAAAUAAUUUUGGUAAAAGAGCAAAAGAUUUCACCUAAAGCCCACUUGUUAUUAAAAGUUAUUUUUGUUUUUGCAUAUUUCUUUUCUAGUUUUGAUCCCAUGUUAUCAGAGUUGUUUUUUUUUUUUUCCUACCCCAUUUUCCAUCAUGGGGUACACACCAUUUUCUUUCUCCUUUGUUCCCCUUAUUCCCUUAUUCUCUUAGUGCUCAUUUUUCAGUGUAAGUUCCAGAAUUACUAUUUUUUUGUGUGUGUCUUUUUUUUUCAGGGCCGCACCCAUGGCAUAUGGAGGUUCCCAGGCUAGGAGUCGAAUCAGAGCUGUUGCUGCUGGCCUACACCACAGCCACAGCAACGCUAGAUCCGAGCCGCGUCUGCGACCUACACUACAGCUCGCGGCAACGCUGGAUCCUUAACCCACUGAGUGAGGCCAGGGAUCAAACCUGCAAUCUCAUGGUUCCUAGUCGGAUUCGUUUCUGCUGUGCCAUCACGGGAACUCCCCAGAAUUACUAUUUUAAAUUUAUGUCUAGCCUUUCAUGGAUUGGAUGAAGCAUAAUUUAUUAAAAUAGUUCCCUGCUGAUGUACAUGGUGCUUCCUCUGGCACAAGCACAGAAAAUAUCUUAAUGGAAGUUUUAUGCAUGUAGCUUUGGCUUUCAUUGAAUUAUUUCCCCAGAAAAUUGAUCAAGAAUGGGAAUGGUUAUGAACAGUCUGAUCACAAUAUGGAGUUAGUAUUAAGAGUGGAGUCCCAAAGACAAAUUUAAAAAAGACUAUGUGUGGCACUUGCUAGCUGUGUGACCUUGCACAAACCCCUCAGUCUCUCCAAGUCUCAAUUUCCUCAAAUGUAAAAUAAAACUAAUAUAAUGCUUAGUCUAUAAGGUUGUGGUGAAGACUGAAUAAAAUAAUGGAAUUAAAAAUAUAAUAAAACUACAUAUAUUCCAUGUAUCUUAGCUAUUACUAGUACUAGUACUGCUGCUACAACUACUACUGAUACUGUGUUGUUGUUGUUUUUUUUCUGUACCUUUAGACUCAGCUGACUCAACACCAUUCGGCGGAAACCAGGAAUACUUUCUUAGCAGCAAACACGGCCUAGUUUGCCAUCAUCCAAAUAAGGUCAAAUCAUUUUAGAACUUAUUUCAUCCAUACCUCUCAACUGUGCCACCUGCUGCCUGCUGGCAUCUCUUGACUGUCAGAGUCCGAGGCUUUACCAGAUCUCUUUUAAGGCUCUUUAAAGAUCUUUGUGGGACCUUUUAAUUUUGGAAACCAUACUCCAGAUCACAUCAGACGUAUUAAAAAUCCCCUGUCCCCCAUAUCCUAUAGGAAAUAUAGGAGCAGUAGACUAGUAAGUGUAAUGCAAUGACAUUUUGUUUUAAAUUAAAUUCUUAAUAAUUUUGAUUUGGUGGAUUGGGUUAAGGUUUAGGGAUCCAAGGAAUAAUGCCUUUCACCUUCCCUCCUGAGUUCAGAACUAAAGAUGAAAUAUAUUCAGGGGUCAGAAAGAUGGACAUCAAGAUAUCAACUUUAUUAUGAGGAAAAGCUGAAUAUGGUUUAAAUGUGUGGCAACAGAGAGCUUCCUUUUUAAAAAAUUUUGUUAUUUUUAUUAGAGUAUAUUUCAUUUACACAGAGAGCUUUCUAAUACCACCCUCUGAAAUGAACUUGCAGCCCUCCCCCCAAAACCUUCAGGCUUCCCCCACUUGCCACUGUGUGGAUAGAAGGCCAGAAUGGACCCUUGGUGCAGGGUCUGAAAGAGGGACAGAGGGAGGAGCUGAGUGGCAGAUGUUCAGAUUUUCUCCAAACUUAUUGCCAAAAAAAAAAAAAAAAAAGAGAGAGAGAGAGAGAGAGAGAAGGUAAAAGAUCUGAGAGGUCAGGAGUAUUUUUAGCUGAAAUUCCUCCACAUGAGAUUAUCCGGCCAUUUGUUGCAACAUGGAUGGACCUAGACAUGAUCAUACUAAGUGAAGUAAGUCAGAGAGAGAAAGACAAGUAUCAUGGUAUCACUUCUAUGUUGAAUCUUAAAAAAAUGAUACAAAGGAACUUAUUUGCAAAAUAGAAAUAAACUUGCAGACAGAAAACAAACUAUGGUUACCAAAAGGGAAAGGUGGGGGAGGGAAAAAUUAGGAGUUUGGGCUUAACAGACACAAUUGACUACAUAUAAAAUAGAUAAACAACAAUGACCUACUGAAUAGCACAGGGAGCUAUAUUUAACAUCUUACAAUAAACAAAAAUGGAAAAGAAUCUGGGAAAGAAUAUAUAUAUGUACACAUAUGUGUGUGUAACUGAAUCACCUUGCUGUACACCUGAAACGUUAUGACUCAACGGUACUUCAAUUUUUAAAAAAGAAGGAAAAUAUCAGGCCAGGGAAUGAUGGGUUUCCUUCUGGACCCAGUACUGGAUCCUGUGCUGACCUGCGGGACAUAAUGACAACAGGUUCCAUCUCACCAUUUGGACCUUGUGUGGUCUGUCUCACAGCCAUGGUUAGACACCCCCCUUUCUACUCUCCUGGGCUUGCCUAGAGCUGGCCCCCCCACGUGGGGAUGCAGCUCUGACAUUUAUGGCUCUUGAUUCCUGUGUAAUCCUCUCCACCACGGAAUAGGACUAUGUCAGAAGCAAAAACAAACAAACAAACAAAACAAAAACCCCUGUUCAAAUUAGCUUAAUUCAUAUUCGGGAAAUUUGCUAUUUUACAUUCCAAUAAAGGAAAAUUCCAAUGUUCCGUUAUCAAUGACUCAGUGACAUGGAACCCAGGUCCUUUCUGCUCUGUCAAUUGCCCAUUGGCUUCAUCCUAAAACUAGUCCUACUCGUGUUUCUAAGAUAGAUGCUGCAGUUCCAGGCAUGCCAUCCGGAAACCAUUUCACCCAGAAAAAGAGAAGGAACCAUGUUGUCUCUGUUUCACCUUUUUUUCAAUAAAGAAAUCUUUCCAAAAAUGCCCCACACACUGAAUUGGCCACUUUGAAACUGAUCUCUAAGCAAGAGGGUGGAAUCACCAUUACUGUUUGAGACCUACUUAUGGAGUUAUGACUGCAUAGGGUGGACAUCCCAACAAAACUAGGUCUCUGACCAAAAAAAAAAAAAAAAAAAAAAAAAAAAGAAAGAAAGAAAAAAAAAAGAAAAGAAAACGGAUGCUAGUGUGUGAGGCAGCCAGCCAGGUCUGUUGUGCAUCAGUAGGCAUUUGUUUCAGUGGUCAUGAUUUUAAAGAAGCAGUUUCCUUCAUUUCUCUGUUCUCAUCUCUGAACCUCAAUUUCCUCAUCUGCCCUCUACACCUUGCAAGAUUGCUAUGACGACCAGGAGAGAUAACAUAUAAACUACAAAGUGCUGUGCAAAUGCGGCGUCUGAUGGGUGUGAUGAUCCUGAACGUGAGCUUUUCCUACUAUCACUGAAGUGCAACUCAUCGCGGACUUGAGCGGCUGUUUGCAAAGUUGGGGUGGUCCUUGUAAGACAUGGAAAUAUCUCAUCACUGGGAUGGAAGUUCCUCUGUGACUUCCAAAUUGAAUGACAAAUGGAAAUAAAAAACUAAAGCAGGCUAAACCAACGAGCAUAUGAAAACAUGCUCAAUGUCUCGAAUCACGAGGGAAAUGCAAGUCAAAAGCACAGUGAAAUGUCACCUUAUACCUGCGAGGAUGGCUACCAUAACGAGUGUUGGCAAGGAUGUGGAGACACUGCAAUGCUCACACAGUGAUGGUGGGAAGGUAGAAUGAUGCAGCCAUUAUGGAAAACAGUCAGG
rnacentral:lncRNA from 1 species